rnacentral:rRNA from 1 species
GAUGAACGCUGGCGGCGUGCCUAAUACAUGCAAGUCGAGCGAACAGACGAGGAGCUUGCUCCUCUGACGUUAGCGGCGGACGGGUGAGUAACACGUGGAUAACCUACCUAUAAGACUGGGAUAACUUCGGGAAACCGGAGCUAAUACCGGAUAAUAUAUUGAACCGCAUGGUUCAAUAGUGAAAGACGGUUUUGCUGUCACUUAUAGAUGGAUCCGCGCCGCAUUAGCUAGUUGGUAAGGUAACGGCUUACCAAGGCAACGAUGCGUAGCCGACCUGAGAGAGUGAUCGGCCACACUGGAACUGAGACACGGUCCAGACUCCUACGGGAGGCAGCAGUAGGGAAUCUACCGCAAUGGGCGAAAGCCUGACGGAGCAACGCCGCGUGAGUGAUGAAGGUCUUCGGAUCGUAAAACUCUGUUAUUAGGGAAGAACAAAUGUGUAAGUAACUAUGCACGUCUUGACGGUACCUAAUCAGAAAGCCACGGCUAACUACGUG